CCCUUAGAUGUCCGGGGCUGCACGCGCGCUACACUGAAGGAAUCAGCGUGCUAAAACCGUUGUCGAAAGGCAUUGGUAAACCCAUUAAAAUCCUACGUGAUUGGGAUCGGGAAUUGCAAUUAUUUCCCUUGAACGAGGAAUUCCCAGUAAGUGUGGGUCAUAAGCUCGCGUUGAUUACGUCCCUGCCCUUUGUACACACCGCCCGUCGCUGCCCGGGACUGAGCCGUUUCGAGAAAAGCGGGGACUGCUGCUGUCGGGGCUUUCGGGCCUUGGCUUCGGUGGAAACCGCUUUAAUCGCAGUGGCUUGAACCGGGCAAAAGUCGUAACA
rnacentral:rRNA from 1 species